rnacentral:rRNA from 1 species
GACGAACGCUGGCGGCGUGCUUAACACAUGCAAGUCGAACGGUAAGGCCCUUCGGGGUACACGAGUGGCGAACGGGUGAGUAACACGUGGGUGAUCUGCCCUGCACUUCGGGAUAAGCCUGGGAAACUGGGUCUAAUACCGGAUAGGACUCCUGCCUGCAUGGGUGGGGGUGGAAAGCUUUUGCGGUGAGGGAUGGGCCCGCGGCCUAUCAGCUUGUUGGUGGGGUGAUGGCCUACCAAGGCGACGACGGGUAGCCGGCCUGAGAGGGUAACCGGCCACACUGGGACUGAGAUACGGCCCAGACUCCUACGGGAGGCAGCAGUGGGGAAUAUUGCACAAUGGGCGCAAGCCUGAUGCAGCGACGCCGCGUGAGGGAUGACGGCCUUCGGGUUGUAAACCUCUUUCAGCACAGACGAAGCGCAAGUGACGGUAUGUGCAGAAGAAGGACCGGCCAGCUACGUGCCAGCCGCCGCCGUAA